AUACGUAGGUGGCAAGCGUUGUCCGGAAUUAUUGGGCGUAAAGCGCGCGCAGGCGGUUCUAUAAGUCUGAUGUGAAAUCUUGCGGCUUAACCGCAAGCGGUCAUUGGAAACUGUGGGACUUGAGUACAGAAGAGGAGAGUGGAAUUCCACGUGUAGCGGUGAAAUGCGUAGAUAUGUGGAGGAACACCAGUGGCGAAGGCGGCUCUCUGGUCUGUCACUGACGCUGAGGCGCGAAAGCGUGGGUAGCAAACAGGAUUAGAUACCCUGGUAGUCCACGCCGUAAACGGUGAGUGCUAGGUGUUGGGGGUUUCCACCCUCAGUGCUGAAGUUAACACAUUAAGCACUCCGCCUGGGGAGUACGGCCGCAAGGCUGAA
rnacentral:rRNA from 1 species